UCGGGGAUCGUCUAGCUGGUAGGACGUCAGGUUCUGGUCCUGAAAACCGGGGUUCGAAUCCCUGUCCCCGAG
rnacentral:tRNA from 1 species